AACGCACCUUGCGCUCCUUGGUAUUCCGAGGAGCAUGCCUGUUUGAGUGUCAUUAAUAUAUAAAUCAAACUUCUUUUUGUUGAGUGGUUUGGAUGUGGGGGUUUGCUGGCCUCUUUUUUAAAAAGGGUUCGGCUCCUCUGAAAUGCAUUAGCAGAACAACCCUGUUCAUCGGCGUGAUAACUAUCUACGCUAUUGAAUGUGAGGGGCAGUUCAGCUUUCUAACCGUCCCUUGGACAAUUCAUCAUUAAUGUGACCUCAAAUCAGGUAGGACUACCCGCUGAACUUAA
rnacentral:misc_RNA from 1 species